rnacentral:lncRNA from 1 species
CGACACGCGUUAGCUUUCCACCGAUAAACGAUUUGAAGGCCUUUACCCAGGAACCACCACCAGCUGAAGGCAGCACGCUCAGUACGACAGCACGAAGUACACCGGCGCGGCCUGGUUACGAAUAAACCUGUUUCAUCAUCCGACAUGACUAAGUCGCAUAUUCCUUCGCCGGCCAAGCUCAGUGCGAUCAAGUGAAAAGCCCAAUCACGGUCAGUUUUCAUUCCCGCAUUUCCUGACUUGGCUUGUUGAUUCCGUAUGAGGUCUUAUGAGCAGCUGCCGCACAGCC